rnacentral:rRNA from 1 species
UACAGAGGUCCCAAGCGUUGUUCGGAUUCACUGGGCGUAAAGGGCGCGUAGGCGGCUUGGGAAGUCGGUGGUGAAAGCUCGAGGCUCAACUUCGAGUCGGCCAUCGAUACUCCUAAGCUCGAGUCGACUAGAGGCAGAUGGAAUUCCGGGUGUAGCGGUGGAAUGCGUAGAGAUCCGGAAGAACACCGGUGGCGAAGGCGGUCUGCUGGGGUCGAACUGGACGGCUGAGGCGCGACAGCGUGGGGGAGCAAACAGG